AACGAACGCUGGCGGCAUGCCUAACACAUGCAAGUCGAACGAGACCUUCGGGUCUAGUGGCGCACGGGUGCGUAACGCGUGGGAACCUGCCCUUAGGUUCGGAAUAACUCCCCGAAAGGGGUGCUAAUACCGGAUAAUGUCUUCGGACCAAAGAUUUAUCGCCUUUGGAUGGGCCCGCGUUGGAUUAGCUAGUUGGUAGGGUAAAAGCCUACCAAGGCGACGAUCCAUAGCUGGUCUGAGAGGAUGAUCAGCCACACUGGGACUGAGACACGGCCCAGACUCCUACGGGAGGCAGCAGUGGGGAAUAUUGGACAAUGGGCGGAAGGCUGAUCCAGCAAUGCCGGGUGAGUGAUGAAGGCCGUAGGGUUGUAAAGCUCUUUUACCCGGGAUGAUAAUGACGGUACCGGGAGAAUAAGCUCCGGCUAACUCCGUG
rnacentral:rRNA from 1 species